rnacentral:rRNA from 1 species
UACGGGGGGUGCGAGCGUUGUCCGGAAUCACUGGGCGUAAAGGGCGCGUAGGUGGUUUGAUAAGGGUGUGGUGAAAGUCCGGGGCUCAACCUCGGAUCGGCCGUGGCGACUCGUGGGCUGGAGCACUGUAGAGGCGGGUGGAAUUCCGGGUGUAGCGGUGGAAUGCGUAGAGAUCCGGAAGAACACCAGUGGCGAAGGCGGCCCGCUGGGCAGUGGCUGACGCUGAAGCGCGACAGCGUGGGGAGCAAACAGG